rnacentral:sRNA from 1 species
UGAUCCUUUUAAGCCGAGGGUCACAUAGCCAACUGACGUUGUUAAUGAACCUAUUUUGUUCAUAUUGAAGUGCUUAAUGCUGUUGCUUGUUAUUU